ensembl:lncRNA
CAUGCAGAACUUGGCCAGUGCUACAUACUUAGCUAUGAAAAAAAAAAUCAAAAUUAAGCACCAAAGCUCUCAGCUCCCAGGAAAAACACAAAUUUGCAUAUGAUUUGGCACCUAGUUCUCCACGAAGCUCAGCAGAGCCUCACUCAGGCGGCCUCGGCACGGUGCCAAAACCACCAGUCUGUUUGGUCAGUUAAAAAUACAGCCUGGUCAUGUCAGGAAAAACUUGCUAUUUGCCCUAAUUGAAUAGACAACCGAAUCCCAAUAUGCCCACCCAGAGUCACAUCCACAUGUGCUACAUCCAUCAACUGUAUAAAAUCACGUAGCACGUAAUCAUUUAACCAGGAGUCAGAGACUAAAAUCCACCCCCAGGGCCAAUGAGUCGCCAAAUGAGAGGACUGAGCCCCGAGUUUGGAGGGCACACAGACCAUUGAAAGGGAGCAGCCAGCAGCCCCUACGGGUUCCAGCUCACUGUGGCCAGGAGCAAAUUUUGGCUAGGGGUUGCCAGAUCUUCUCAUCUAGAAAAUGAGCCAGUGGUUCAGAAGGCUUUCACCAGCAAAUAACAAAAAAAAAAAAAUUGCUCAAAGAGGAGGAGCUGAUACAGCCAGAAUCUGAGAGCUGGGUACCUGCAGCGUGGAUGGCAAGAGCUAUGGUGCUACAAGAUGGAGCGGGGAUGGAGACGAAUGUGAGGAGGUGGUGUCCAGUGAUUAAAAAUCUGACCUGCCAGUGCGGGGGACCACAGGAUCCAUCCCUGGUUCAGGAAGAUUCCAGAUAUCAUGCGGCCAUUAAGCCUGUGCACCGCAGCUACUGAAACCUGAGUGCUCUAAAGCCUGUGCUCCUCAACCAGAGACACCUGUGCACCUCAACUAGAGAGGAAACUCAGCCGGCCACAACUAGAGAAAGCCCGCAUGCAGCAACGAAGACCCAACACAACCAGAGAUAAAAUAAAUACAAUUUAAAAAGAGUAAACCCAGCAGGAAAAGUCAUUCCGUGGAAAUUCCCUUGCCACCUCUUAUCUGCCAAACUUCUCUGUUUCAGACUUUAAGAAACUUGAGUACCAGAGGAGGGGAAAGACACUCUCAAAGGCACAGGACGUGGGGCAUCAGAAACAGUCAGACAGAAAAAGACAGAUAUCAUAUGAUAUCAUUUAUCUGUGGAAUAUUUUUUUAAAUGGUACAAGUGAACUUAUUUAUGAAACGGAAAUAGGGUCACACAUAUAGAAAAUAAACUUAUGGUUCCCAAGAGGAAAAGGGGGUGAGGAGGGAUAAAUUGGGAAGUGGGGAUUGACAUCUACACACUGCUAUUACAAAACAGAUAACUAAAAAGGACCUACUGUAUAGCACAGGGAACUCUACUCAGUACUCUGUAAUGACCUAUACAGGAAAAGAAUCUGAAAAAAAAGAGGGGGGAUAUAGGUAUGGGCUUCCCUGAUAGAUCAGCUGAUAAAUAACUCACCUGCAAUGCAGGAGAUCCCAGUUCAAUUCCUGGGUGGGAAAGAUUUCCUGGAGAAGGGAUAAGCUACCCGAUGUAGGACGACGUACGUUUGUUGAGGUUCAUGCUAGGGAUGCUAGUGUGAACUGCACACUCGCGUGUGGCACUAAGAAAUCUCAGCCUGGCACCGUACUCCCUGAAGCAUCCAGAGGAGCUCUGGUGAUGGAAUUCUGAAACAUCAAAGCUCAAAACAGGCUAAAACUCCAUUUGCCAAGAUUCCUUGAACACGUUCCCUGCCCCACCUGCGCUACAGUGGUUUGUAGAGAAGAGAGAAUCAGAGAAUCCUGCUUAAAAAAAAAAAAAAAAAGGAAAAUGCUUGCAGCUUCAAAAGAGUGAAGUGUUCAUCCCAACAAGUGGACACAACUUUGAGUAAAGAGAGCAGUUGUAAUUUUCAGAAAAGGAGGAUUUAGACUCAGCAUCCUGAAGAAUUAUGACAGCAAAAAUUAUGAGAUUGGGGAAACAUGUAAUAAAGGAAGUGGUGGAAACCCCAUCCCAGGAGUUGUUUGAAAGUCAACAGACUAAAGAACUAGAAAAUCUAUCCUAGGACAGACUCUCCACUGAUUCCCCUGGGCCUGAGGGAUGAUAUAAUGGGCUUUCUCCAUCUCUAAUUGCUAUGGUUCUUAGACUUUAUGUAUUUCCCAGGAUUUUAUAACAUCAAUGUUAGACCAGCAUUUCACUCUCCCCCUCAAAAAGGAAGAAAAUAACUCCAAACAAACCUUAAACUGGUUGCUCCAAGGAGCAUAAAGAUUUUCCCAAAUGGAAAUCGUGUGUCAUGAAAUUCUCCAUUGUGAAUUUCAUUAUUAUUCCCUGAAGAUAGUCUAUCAAGAGGCGAGACCUCAUCAUCAUUUUACUUCACUUACCCGGUUUUCUCUUUCCAGUUUAUUUUCAUUGCAGGGGAGAAAAGUAACCAGACUACAAAUCUCAUAGCACUGGCUGAAAAGCUCUGCAUUUUUUUUCCCUCCUUCUGUCCACUGAUAUUUCACCAAGAAGCUGGGGUCUCUUAGUAAUGAGUUAGUAAGACCGGGAUUAGGGCACAACCAUACAGAAAUGGGGGCUUCCCGGGUGGUGCUACUGGGAACCCACCUGCAAAUGCAGGAGACAUGAGAGACGUGCGUUCGAUCCCUGGGUUGGGAAGAUCCCCUGGAGAAGGAAAUGGCAAUUUGCCGGGAGCCGGCAUAUUGCAUAUUGCAUAUUGAGUGCAGCACUUUCCACAGCAUCAUCUUUCAGGAUCUGGAAUAGCUCAACUGGAAUUCUAUCACUGCCGGGAGCCAGUGGCAAAGGUCAUGAGGAAGGAGGCUCGGCAUACGCAAAGGCGGGAUCGAGCCUCAGGAGUCCCCCUGGAAAUUCUCAAGCAUCUACCCCCAAAACCAGAGUCUGCCUACUUUCUGCUUUGUGCUUUCACCUACACCUCUGACUUUACGGGGGGCUGUCCCCCACUACCUCUCUCUGAAAA